AGAUUUACAACACAACUAUGUCAAGCACAAAUCUAACAUAACUAAUACAUCUCUUUAUAAUUACAUGUCCACUCUAAACUAUUACAAGUCUCUUUUUUUCUCUUUCUGAGCUCCUCUGGACUUCCCUGUACACUGUACACUGAAUCCUGCAAGACUGGGAUUAUGGGAGUGGCAUGAGCUCUAUAGCCCAGUGAGUAGAAUAAUAAAAUCAGUUAUAAAGUAUGAUCUUAUGGAAUGCAUCAUAACACAGACAAGCCACAUCAAGAGUAAACCUGUCACCACAUAGCCUCAGUAACUUCCGUGCCAAGGCGUAGAAUCGAGCACCUGGUCUUCCUGUCAUAUAUAUAUAUGUGUAUAACACCUCUGUACUUACCAUUGCCAGGGCGUAGUCAAAGGCUCCUGGACUUUACUAUACCAGCCAGGGCGUAGUCAAAGGCUCCUGGUCUUAACUCAGAGACUAUUGGAUCAUUCAGCAUUUACUCACACCAACAAUUAACUAUGCAAUGCAACAUAUUCGUGAAUUCUAAUGUAAUCAACCUAUUUGCAUAAUCAUGAUGCAUGAGAUAUGCUAAAACAUUCCAUUGUUUCACUCAAAGCACUAAGUUUAGUUCCACUCACCUCUGGCUCUGGACUGACUCUGCAGGUUCAGUAACCUCUGGAGCAGUACUCACUGCUGCUCUCUCUGGUUCCUCUGGUCUGUAUAAACACAUAAAGACU
rnacentral:lncRNA from 1 species